CGGGACGGGUGAGUAACGCGUGGGUGACCUGCCCCAUACCGGGGGAUAACAGCUGGAAACGGCUGCUAAUACCGCAUAAGCGCACAGAGCUGCAUGGCUCAGUGUGAAAAACUCCGGUGGUAUGGGAUGGGCCCGCGUCUGAUUGGGCAGUUGGCGGGGUAACGGCCCACCAAACCGACGAUCAGUAGCCGGCCUGAGAGGGCGACCGGCCACAUUGGGACUGAGACACGGCCCAA
rnacentral:rRNA from 1 species